rnacentral:rRNA from 1 species
UACGUAGGGUGCAAGCGUUGUCCGGAAUUAUUGGGCGUAAAGAGCUCGUAGGCGGUCUGUCGCGUCUGCUGUGAAAACUCAGGGCUUAACCCUGAGCUUGCAGUGGGUACGGGCAGACUAGAGUGCGGUAGGGGAGACUGGAAUUCCUGGUGUAGCGGUGAAAUGCGCAGAUAUCAGGAGGAACACCGGUGGCGAAGGCGGGGUCUCUGGGCCGGUAACUGACGCUGGAGGAG